AUUGAACGCUGGCGGUAUGCUUAACACAUGCAAGUCGAACGGUAGCACGGUCUAGCUUGCUAGAUGGGUGACGAGUGGCGAACGGGUGGGUAACGCGUAGGAAUAUGCCUUGAAGAGGGGGACAACUUGGGGAAACUCAAGCUAAUACCGCAUAAUAUCUUCGGAUGAAAGUUGGGGACCUUCGGGCCUGACGCUUUAAGAUUAGCCUGCGUAUGAUUAGCUAGUUGGUAGGGUAAAGGCCUACCAAGGCGACGAUCGUUAGCUGGUCUGAGAGGAUGACCAGCCACACUGGAACUGAGACACGGGCCAGACUCCUACGGGAGGCAGCAGUGGGGAAUAUUGGACAAUGGGGGCAACCCUGAUCCAGCAAUACCGCGUGUGUGAAGAAGGCCUGAGGGUUGUAAAGCACUUUCAGUGGGGAGGAGGAUUGAUUGGUUAAGAGCUGAUUGAUUGGACGUCACCCACAGAAGAAGCACCGGCUAACUCCGUGCCAGCCGCCGCCGUAA
rnacentral:rRNA from 1 species